rnacentral:rRNA from 1 species
AUUGUACCGCGAAACUGCGAAUGGCUCAUUAAAUCAGUUAUCGUCUAUUUGAUAGUACCUUACUACUUGGAUAACCGUGGUAAUUCUAGAGCUAAUACAUGCUGAAAACCCCGACUUCGGAAGGGAUGUAUUUAUUAGAUUAAAAACCAAUGCCCUCCGGGGCUCCCUGGUGAUUCAUGAUAACUUCUCGAAUCGCACGGCCUUGCGCCGGCGAUGGUUCAUUCAAAUUUCUGCCCUAUCAACUUUCGACGGCUGGGUCUUGGCCAGCCAUGGUGACAACGGGUAACGGAGGGUUAGGGCUCGACCCCGGAGAAGGAGCCUGAGAAACGGCUACUACAUCUAAGGAAGGCAGCAGGCGCGCAAAUUACCCAAUCCCGACGCGGGGAGGUAGUGACAAUAAAUACUGAUACAGGGCUCUUUAGGGUCGUGUAAUUGGAAUGAGUACAGUUUAAUUCCCUUAACGAGGAACAAUUGGAGGGCAAGUCUGGUGCCAGCAGCCGCGGUAAUUCCAGCUCCAAUAGCGUAUAUUAAAGUUGUUGCAGUUAAAAAGCUCGUAGUUGAACCUUGGGCCUGGCUGGCCGGUCCGCCUCACCGCGUGCACUGGUCCGGCCGGGCCUUUCCCUCUGGGGAGCCGCAUGCCCUUCACUGGGCGUGCCGGGGAACCAGGACGUUUACUUUGAAAAAAUUAGAGUGUUCAAAGCAGGCUUAUGCUCGGAUACAUUAGCAUGGAAUAAUGGAAUAGGACGUGCGGUUCUAUUUUGUUGGUUUCUAGGACCGCCGUAAUGAUUAAUAGGGACAGUCGGGGGCAUCAGUAUUCAAUUGUCAGAGGUGAAAUUCUUGGAUUUAUUGAAGACUAACUACUGCGAAAGCAUUUGCCAAGGAUGUUUUCAUUAAUCAGGAACGAAAGUUAGGGGAUCGAAGACGAUCAGAUACCGUCGUAGUCUUAACCAUAAACUAUGCCGACUAGGGAUCGGACGCUGUUGUCUUUUGACGCGUUCGGCACCUUACACGAAAGUACAAG